GUUUUCCUACGGGAGGCAGCAGUGAGGAAUAUUGGUCAAUGGGCGGGAGCCUGAACCAGCCAAGCCGCGUGAGGGAAGAAGGUACAGCGUAUCGUAAACCUCUUUUGUCAGGGAACAAAGGCGGGGACUAGUCCCCGGAUGAGGGUACCUGAAGAAAAAGCAUCGGCUAACUCCGUGCCAGCAGCCGCGGUAAUACGUAGGUGGCGAGCGUUAUCCGGAAUGAUUGGGCGUAAAGGGUGCGCAGGCGGUCCUGCAAGUCUGGAGUGAAAAGCAUGCGCUCAACUCAUGCAUGGCUUUGGAAACUG
rnacentral:rRNA from 1 species